UGCUAGUUUUACGCAAAUGGGAUGAAAGGUUCAAAAGUUAUGGAAUUUUAAAGUUAGGUUCUACGUGAAAACCUCCAAUUUUUAGAGAGUUCUACGAAAACCUACGACGCCACAGCAGGUCUUACCGGCGGUUAUUCGCUCCAGACAAUGCUGCUCCGUCGUUCCACUUCACCCUCUUCUUCCGUGAGGGCCGCAGCGCACCCGAUAGGGCGUAAUGGUGUGGCAGGACCGUACCGAACGCAGUUUUUGCGCCGGGAGCCAAAGCUGCGGGAGGCCUACUUAUAAGCCUGACCCGUAUCAACGCGACCCGGUAGGGUGCUUAUUUGGACAACUGCGACGUACCCAACUCAGUUUUUGAGCGGGGAGCCAAAGCUGCGGGGGACCUACUUAUAGGCACCGACCCGUAUGAAUACUCCGUCGCGCAGCAGACUUCCAAUGAAGUCUGUAUGAUGCAGGAAAUGUGGUGAUUCGGAGUGCGCGAAAGCUUGAGUUUUAGUGUAUCUGUGUAUGUAUCCCAUUUUUGAGACCAUAUACCGGGCCGUUUCCCUUAAAGAUUAAUCAGGCAUGUCGCCCUUCUCGUAAAAUAUUAUCUUUUAAAAAUCAAAAAGUGUUUUCAGAAAACUUUCAGAAAGCCAAAUAAGAUUUCGAACUCGAAGUUUGAUCCGAUGCAACGUUUAACGCAGCUUUGCAGAAAGUCAGUUUUUGGCUGCUUAAUUUCGAACCGGUGGUUGAGUGGCCUGCUUAGCAAUGGUGGAUGCUUCACUGCUCCGUAGACUCUGCAUGUUACGUGUUUCAAAGUUUUCUAAAAACUGACUUAGUUUUCUAAAUCCGUAACAUCUUACACACGAGUAUGCUGUGUUCCGGAUGAUUGGCCGACCGGCUGGAAUUUUAUUGCGCAAUCAUGAUGUGCUGUACCUUAAAUAUGGUGCCUUCAAGCUGCUUGUCCACAAUCUGAAAUUUGCUGUGGUAUUGUCAUCCGGAAGCUGUUUUUGGUCUGACCCGGAUUUCGUUGCCGGAAACGCGUCGACAUUUACGAAGUCCAACCGACACGAUCAUGAACCGUCACGAACUAAGCUGUUAACAUGCGCUCGCUGCAGCAACAGGUGCCGGACCGCGACUGUGACAUUGCCCAACCGUAGACUUAUGUUAAAAAUCUGCCCUGACAGUUGUACAACAUUCGCUUGGAAAAGAGGAAUGUGUCUGGCCUGGGAUGUGACGUGCGUUGACACGGUGGCCCUUUCCCAUCUCCCUUCGACGUCGGUUACCCCAGGAGCCGCUGCCGUACAAGCAGAAGAAAAGAAGUUCCGACUGUACGCGAAUCUGCAAGGGCGUUACAUCUUUUCCCCCAUCGCCUUUGAGACGAUGAGCCCCUGGAGGCUGGGGCCCUUCGGCUGCCGCCAUUGUGAAGGAGUUGGGCAAAAGACUGCAGGAGUACACAGGAGAGCGUCGAUUGCAUGAGUUUUUGCGUCAACGAUUAUCGUUGGAGAUUCAGCGCGGAAAUGUAGCAUCGAUGCUCGGCACGAUGGACGGAGUGGAUAGUUUAAGUGAAGUCUUGCUGUUGUGAUUAGUAUAGCAUGUUUAGUACCCGAACUGUGCGAAGUUUAUUAAUAAAAUGCGAAUUCCACCUGCGAAAUCUGAUCGACAUAAGGAACCGGCCGAUUGAAAAUCAGCAGCUGCGCUUGCAGCGUAAGGAAGCGUGAGUAACGGAGGUGGUGCAAAACGGCGAGAAGCUGGCGGCGCGCAUUGCUCAGCUCGUGCAGUUCUAUGGGAAGAUCUGCGGGCUGCUGGCCGGCGGACAUCCGGAUGUUGUGAAGCAACCAAAGGAUGCGAAGGCUGUUGUCGACCUCCCUGUUACGUCUCGCACGUGGACGCUACACGUGGACGUAAUUCCUACUUCCAACCCAAUUCCUCAGGUCGACGCUGCUAAAGAUCAUGCCAGAAUGAUAUUAUACUGCACUACGGAAUGAUAGUGAUCAUAUAUUGUUGGCGGCGAUAAGCGAACUGAAGCACGUCUGAGAGCAGUCAGUGCGAAGUACGCCGGCUUAGCGGUCUUCCUGCAAAGGUAUUCGGCAACCUCCUGGAUGACGAGACGUUCCGAAUUUCUCUUGGCUCUUUGGCUUGGCGCUCAGAUCGUGGAGCCCCAUUCAUGCGCCAGAUAUGAAAAGGAUAUCACGGAAAACGGAUACCAGGGACUAACCUGCCAAAAGGGUGGUCGUAGAAGGGAACGGCAAAAUGCCUGUGGGAAUUAUACGUGAGAACGGAAAGCGGCCGGAUGUAGCUAAUCGCGAUGGAAAUGGCAUCGUGGAGAACCGCUAGUUUUGGGACGUGACAUGCAGAGAUACUAUGGCGGAUUCGUAUAUCGACGCAACUUGGAGUGUGCCGGCGCCGCCGCCGAACUGGCAUUGACCGUCAACUGUCAAGAUGGGGACGUACAAGUCGCUUCCUGAUCGCUGUUAUUUUGUCCCCAUUGCGUGCGAGACAUUUGGCACUCAUUAUGAUGCUGCAGUCGUUUGG